GGGGAGACAGAGGAAAAUGGCGGUUGUGUCCAGCCACGAGGUUUGAGGGCAGUUAAUUAUGCAGUAACAGCGCAGACAUUUCCUCUCCCUUCCUUUUGUUGACUAAUGAGCAUGUCCUCUAGCUCAGCUGUCCCUUCCUCUGGAAAGAUUUCUCCGAUGGCACUGACACCCAUCCUGGGAGUCGUGAUGCCGGUACAUGCAGAGGCAAUACCUGUAUGUCACGAUGCUACAUGACCAACAGCAGUGAUAAGGUGACAUCGAUUUUAAGGCCCAGCCCUAUUUUGAGAUAUUAAUGAAUGAAAAACAUAUGCAUCUUGAAACUGAUGAAUUCUAGUACUUCCUGGGGUUGAUCUUACAAUGAAAGCAUGACUGCUCUGAAAAGCCUCCUGCAUAGAGCCUUGCACAUGUGAGAAGAAACACCACGUUCCUUUCUUCACUUUUUCCAGCCCAGAGAUGUUCCCCUGACUGACACUUCUGAGAGUGAAAGAGGUCUUCCUCGAUAAUUUCGCUGAGACCAUGAGCAUAAACUGGGACUGGCCUAGAAGAGCCGGGAUGUAUAACAAACUACUAUAUCCCAUCUUCCAUCCAGAAAGGAAGGCAAAAGGCAGAUGCAAAUUUCUCUGUGCUUGGGCUUUGGAUGCCUUUGUCCAAAACCAGGAAGGCCGUGAGGUAAUUGAUGGCCAUGCAAGUACUUCUGGCUCCCAUCCCAAGAAGGCUUACCAAUAAAUUCCAAAACUGGUUAAAAUCCGAUGCUGCCGUGUUCUGGGAGAGGCUCUCCUUCCCCAGCGGUUAUUUAUGGAGCAGAGAAAAGGCACCACAUUGAUGAUGGAUCUGCUUUUAUCGGAUAAAAAUGGGAGGAACAGUGAAAGAUCAUGGAUCUUUAAGAAUGUUCCAGAAGGAUCAGAAAUGUGAAGGCAAGCAGUGCUUUCUUAUGGUCAGGGUCUGAACACAGCACAUUGGAAGUGGACAUCAGUUCUGAGAUGCCCCCGGCUGAUCAGAAUCUGUCCACCACAACACGCAAGCCUGAUAUGGUCAACCCCUGCUUUAAACCCUUCUUAGGCUUCUACUGCAUUUUGGGAAAUGACCCUCACCUCCAGCCCAGCACACAGGUUCAUCUCCACCUGGAUGCAUUUAAUAAAAGCAGACCAAAUCUACUGAA